rnacentral:rRNA from 1 species
UACGUAGGGUGCAAGCGUUGUCCGGAAUUAUUGGGCGUAAAGAGCUCGUAGGCGGUCUGUCGCGUCUGGUGUGAAAUCCCAUGGCUCAACUGUGGGCGUGCGGGCGAUACGGGCAGACUAGAGUACUGCAGGGGAGACUGGAAUUCCUGGUGUAGCGGUGGAAUGCGCAGAUAUCAGGAGGAACACCAGUGGCGAAGGCAGGGAUCUCCUGGG